GCCAUCAUAGGCUCAGUAGGUAGAGCACAUCCAUGGUAAGGAUGGGGUCGCAGGUUCGAUUCCUGUUGUUGGCACCA
rnacentral:tRNA from 1 species